CCGUAGCCUGGUAGCGGGGGAUAACUAUUGGAAACGAUAGCUAAUACCGCAUAACAGUAGAUGUUGCAUGACAUCUGCUUGAAAGGUGCAAUUGCACCACUACCAGAUGGACCUGCGUUGUAUUAGCUAGUUGGUGAGGUAACGGCUCACCAAGGCGACGAUACAUAGCCGACCUGAGAGGGUGAUCGGCCACACUGGGACUGAGACACGGCCCAG
rnacentral:rRNA from 1 species